AGUCGUGCGAGACUUAGGGGCUUGCUCCUAAGAAAAGCGGCGCACGGGUGAGUAACGCGUGGGUAACGUACCCAAGGGUUGAGGAUAACCUGCCGAAAGGCGGGCUAAUACUCAAUAUCUUUAUAGGAAGCGAGCUUCUUAUAGAGAAAGCUAGCAAUGGCGCCCAUGGAUCGGCCCGCGUCCUAUCAGCUAGUUGGUGAGGUAAUGGCUUACCAAGGCUAUGACGGGUAACUGGUCUGAGAGGACGACCAGUCACACUGGGACUGAGACACGGCCCAGACUCCUACGGGAGGCAGCAGUGGGGAAUAUUGGACAAUGGGCGAAAGCCUGAUCCAGCAAUGCCGCGUGGGUGAUGAAGGCCUUCGGGUUGUAAAGCCCUGUCGGCGGGAACGAAAAAAUCGGUGUUGAGCCGAUCUUGACGGUACCCGCAAAGGAAGCACCGGCUAACUCUGUGCCAGCAGCCGCGGUAAUACAGAGGGUGCAAGCGUUGUUCGGAAUUACUGGGCGUAAAGCGCAUGUAGGCGGUCUAGUUAGUCAGAUGUGAAAUCCCUGGGCUUAACCCAGGAACCGCAUCUGAUACUGCUAGACUUGAGUGUCGGAGGGGAUGGCGGAAUUCCCGGUGUAGAGGUG
rnacentral:rRNA from 1 species